CUCAGUUCGGAUUGUAGUCUGCAACUCGACUACAUGAAGCUGGAAUCGCUAGUAAUCGCGAAUCAGAAUGUCGCGGUGAAUACGUUCCCGGGUCUUGUACACACCGCCCGUCACACCAUGGGAGUUGGGAAUGCCCGAAGCCGGUGACCUAACCGAAAGGGAGGAGCCGUCGAAGGCAGGCUUGAUAACUGGGGUGAAGUCGUAACAAGGUAGC
rnacentral:rRNA from 1 species